rnacentral:misc_RNA from 1 species
GAUGAAGAACGCAUCGAAACGCGAAAGGUAAUGCGAAUUGCAGAAUCAGUGAGUCAUCGAAUCUUUGAACGCACAUUGCGCCCCUUGGUAUUCCGGGGGGCACGCCUGUUCGAGCGCCAUUACACACCCCAAGCUAAGCUUGAUGUUGGGCGAUGUCUGUCACAGGACACGCCUGGAACGUAUGGGCGCCGCCGCCGGAUCACGAGUGUAGCAAGACGCAAGUCAUCGCUCGGUCGGUCCUGGCGGUUGGCCGCCGCGGCUCAUGGUAACACAUGGGCCAGUAACUUUUCACAAGUUUGGCCUCGAAUCAGGCGGGGAUACCCGCUGAACUUAAGCAUAUCAAUAAGCGGAGGA